rnacentral:lncRNA from 1 species
CAACUGCCGUUCACCUCUUGAAGCAACCUGUACCUAAACCAAAAAUUAGAUCAACAAAACAGAACUAAUUCAUCAAUGAACCGGAAAUACAACAAUCCAUCAAUGACCUAGUACACUCAAUAAAUCACUAAAUCACAAUACUGAGCUAACAAACUCAAUAAACCAAAAGAACAAUNNNNNNNNNNNNNNNNNNNNNNNNNNNNNNNNNNNNNNNNNNNNNNNNNNNNNNNNNNNNNNNNNNNNNNNNNNNNNNNNNNNNNNNNNNNNNNNNNNNNNNNNNNNNNNNNNNNNNNNNNNNNNNNNNNNNNNNNNNNNNNNNNNNNNNNNNNNNNNNNNNNNNNNNNNNNNNNNNNNNNNNNNNNNNNNNNNNNNNNNNNNNNNNNNNNNNNNNNNNNNNNNNNNNNNNNNNNNNNNNNNNNNAAAAUGUAUUUCUUUUGCUUAGUUCCUUAUUUGUUUAGUUUUCUAUGUUAAUUUUAAAUAAUUGUUUAGUUUCACUUUAACGGUUCUUUCAAUAUAAAAUAUAUUAUAUAUAACAAUNNNNNNNNNNNNNNNNNNNNNNNNNNNNNNNNNNNNNNNNNNNNNNNNNNNNNNNNNNNNNNNNNNNNNNNNNNNNNNNNNNNNNNNNNNNNNNNNNNUAAUUUGUUCUUUUGAGUUUUCAAAAGCUUUAUAUUAUUUGCAUGCUGCUUGAUUUUCAGCUCUAAAAAAAGAAAAUCAUUUUCAAAUCUCUGCAUCAAGACAGUGAGAGUUGCUUCUUACCCCAAAAGAACACCCGCAUGCAUUUAUUUUUAUAGAGGAUCCUAUUAAGUAAUACUGUAUUCGCUAAUAUUGUUUGUAGGUACUAGUUUACUGUAACGCGCGAUGUCUCUUAUUUGUUAUUUCAUUUGUUGUAUGUGCUUACUCAUCCGUGCAUCAAAAGAGUUGUAAGCAAAAAAUAUUCGUAUAUAUAUGAUGAGCAGAUUUUACUGCACCCUUCAAAUAUCCACUAGAAUAAACUAAUGGAAUCGUAUUUUCCCUAGGGUCUUUCUAACGCUAUUACUCAACCGGAAUAUACAAAGUAGACCAAGUAACAGUGAAUGUUUAUUUGUUUGAGUGUUUGUGUAUCCAAUUAUCAACUAAGAAUUCAAAUAAAAAGAAAAAAAAAUGUAAGAGAUUAAGUUUCAAAUAUGGGAAUGAAGGUUAUUCAAACUCGAAUCCACUAAAGUUAGCAAUGCAUGGAUGAACGAUAUGCAAUCUUAAUUAUUCAGGUUAUAAUGGCUUGGUGAUUUCCUAUGAUAGGCUUAGACCUACUGGUCAUUCCACCGCCCUUGUCUUGGAAGACCUGACAGUGGUCCAGUCCUCAGUUUCCCGAACCUUGUCUCGUCUCUCAAGAGCAAAGACCCCAAAGCUGGCUCCUCUUUCUUAGCAUAUGCAUUCAUGUUUGUCUUUUGAAAUCUGCUCACGACCGAGCCAAGAUUUCCAGGCUAAGCCGAGCAUAUGCCUUGUCGAUAUAAUCCUAUACUUCUUGUCUUAGACCAGGGUCAAUCCUACUCUACAAGAACCAACCUCUCAACCUCGAUGUCCAUCAAGCGCCAGUACUUGGCAACUUCCCAGAAGCUGCUAAACGAUCAAGAUCGAAGUCUCUACCCUUAAACACAACACUCCUUAUCGGAGGACUACUUGGAAGAGCUUAUCCUUGGCCCAAAGUUACCCUGCUAUGCUAUUUCUAAAUUCUACCCUUGCCGAUUCCAUGUCGAACACGGCUAGACACUGAUCACCCGACCUAGAGAGGUCGUCUCCUAAGUUUUUAUGGUUUAUUUAUCCACCUACUCCUUUCUUCUUUUCGGGUAGAGGAAACCUCUAACUUCACUGGCUCUUAGGGUCCCCAAUUGAGUUUUUACUAUAGUGAUGGUAACGUCUACUGCAAGUGGUCUCUUCUGCCGAGUUCUUGCACCUAAUUCCAUGGGCAGUCUUCCGAAAAUAGACUGUUAGAAAGAUACUACCAGACUCGUUUCAGGUUUUUUUUAUUCCCGAGCCAAGCUCGUCUCUUAUAACACUUGUUGGGCCUACCCCUAGCCCAUAAUUGGACCCAUUCGAAAGGAUCUAUACCAGUGGUCUGCGUCACCACACCCAUGGGGAACUGUCCGUCACGUCUGUGGCGUAGUGUUGGCCACGCCCGUGGUCUACCCUGUAUAAAGAAUUUGAUCCCCAAUCUGAAUCCCUGAUUUUUCCUUCUUCCCCAAAAUUUCCCCAAUUUCCUACGAUACCCUUACGACCGUUGCCUAUAAUUCCUCCCUGUUUAAUCCUUCGAUCCUUGGUAAGUUUAAUCUCUUAUCUCUUCCUUGAUUUCGUUCGUUCUAUGCUUGGGAAUGUCUAACCCUCCCUCUCAUGCAGAUUCCUCCGCAAUUGGCACCGCCGCCGCCGCCGCCCUUUCUUCACUCUUCUCCUCUUGAAGCUUACAAUCAACCGUAAGUUUUCGCUCUGCCCUUUGUUCCUAUAUUCCAGAACUUAGGUUCGAAGUCUUUACUUGCUAGGCUCAUGAAUUGUCUGCUAGCCUAGGAUUGGUCCCCGUAAUGCUUCGCCAAUUGACUCUAGGUCAUUUGCGAUGUGCUGUGUAUUUUGGGGUCAGUCACGCCCGUGGCCGUAAGCACUCCGCCCCCGUGACUAUCCCUCUCAUCACGGUCGUGGUGAAGUAUUCGUUGCGCCCGUGAUGAGGCUUUUCCGACGUUCGUGGUCGAAAAUGUCGCACGCCCACGUGAUUGGUCUAAUUGCAGUCAUUGUUUCUGUCGUGUGGUAUAGAUAUCUGGCGAAGGUUCUUCAUCUCAGCACUUGGUGCGACCGAAGCCCAAGCACACCCGGUGUCAUACAGGAGAGGACUUUGAGGCCGCUGCUUACCUCGCCGUUUAGGAGGUGAUCGUCAAAAUAACUGUGAAGUUAUCUCGACAACACAAGUGUCGUAUGUGUCCAAUGAUUCCUCUCGUUAUCCCUCUACUCAAACUAGUCAACACGGUCUAGACUAAGAGAAUGGGUUUUGGGUUUUAAUUACUCUAAUGAUUAAAUUAAACUAACAAUUCAAGAUUUGAUCAAAGGGAGAAAGCAAGUUCUUGGAAGAGAUGAUUCAUCAAGCUCAACUUCCUAAACGCACUCAAAAUGAACAAAUGUUGAACUUGGAUUGAAUAAAACGAAUCCUCUUAUCACUCGUAUGAAUUUGUGGCACGAUCAUGCACGCGGAUUACCAUUAUUAGCUUCCCAACUAAGGUAGAAACAACCUUAAUUAGGCUAGCCGGUAAUGAACACCGAGAAGUUCUACAAAGUGAUAAGGUGUUUUCCCGGGAUUAAAAGAAAUCACGAUUAAUCGAAAACAACGUUAACAUGGUCCAUCAAAACCUAAGCUACUGAUAACUACACCCAACUUGGUCCAUUGGGUGCAAACCAGAGCGCCGGCCUAUUAUAAGAUGAAUAACUUUUAAAACUAGAAGAAACACAAACAGUAGAAUCGGGUUAUCCGCUUAUCCCAACGAUAACUUUAAUGUAUCUCAAAUUUUUAAUCUUAUGAAUUCCUAAUUCGAUCAAACAGAGAAACUAAUAGAUUAAAGUCGUAACGAGAAUUAAAUUAAAACUCAACAAUCAAAGGAAACUGUCAUUCAUAUCCAAUUAUCGAACAAUCGUCGUUUCUAAACUUUUGAGAUAAGAAUCAUUACUCAAAUCCUACAUCUCAAUCAAGAAACUCUAAAGACUUAGAUACUCAUGACUCAAAUCCUACAGUAACCACCAUGUUGUUGAAGAGAUAACGACUUGUUCUUCCUCCAAUCGUUGGUUUUAAUCUUCUAGCUUCAAUCAUCAAUGGGGACUCCUUUGGAUCUUCAAUUGAGCUUCGAGGGAAGGAAUAAUGGGGUUUUUUUUCAGAGGGGAGUCGUGAAAAAUAGGAGGAAUUCGUCUAUGGGGAAAACUGAUUCUCUUUCCUCAAAAUCAAGCUUUUAUAUGGAAGCUGCUGAAUCUGGAGGGUGCACGUCGUGCACCUCCUUGCCUUCAGAAUCCCGCGGUACUGAAAGGGAGGAACGGCGUGCAAGGGUGCACGCUGUUCCCCUAUUUUGAGACCGAGACUUUUAAAAUAUCGUAGGGCUGCACGACGUGCAGUGAUGCACGUCGUGCAACACCUCUAUUCCUCCAUUUCCUUUCUCGAUCUUCCGUUCGAGUUCCAACUGUGCUCUACUUCAUGUCCAUAGCUUCAUAACCAGAAAACCUACCUGUAGAGUACCUGUUGAUAAUAAACGGUACAUAGAAAUACAUCAAAUGGACUGAAAUGGUCCAAAUGAAUGGGUCUAGGCACAUAAUGCCAGAACAUGAAAUCACACGGGGAUGAAGCUCGAAGAUGCCAUUAUUCACUCUAAAGCGUGUAGAUAAGGAUAGAUAAUUACUACAAAUCUUAGCACUAUUAGGAGGCGAGCCUGUCUCGCUGGAGCGCUCAGGGUGCCGCCCGUUUCCUCAACUUCACGAGCGAGGAACACCGCUCUCGCAUGGAGCGACUCCGGGACAAGCCCAUCUAACAGGUCGAGCUCAUCAAGUGGGGGGGGGGGGAGAUCAGGGUGGGAUGGGAUGAGCGAGCUGCAGAGCUUCUUCACAACGGACGUGUGGAGCUCGUCUUCCAGUGGAUAAGCGCACCUAUAAGGUUCUUACGCACGAGUUCUUUGCGAAUCUGUACGUAGACCUCAAUAUCGGGUGUACCCGAUCGACAGUCAUUUUCUAGAUCGUUGGGAGCCCCCGCAUGCGCUCCCUCGAUGAGAUAGCCAUAGUUUGUGACUUCUACGUUAAGGAGGACAGAGCUAUGAACUGGUUCCAAGGAUUGAUCACUUUCACCUCUAUCGACUCGACUCCUUAGUCCUGGCUCCAGUUGGUAAGGAGGAACAUCCCCUUCACUACUGGUAAGUCUUUUUACCCAUCCUUGAUUUCUCUUACUUACUAUAUCUUUCACUACUAACUCGCGACCUAAUUGGCGUGUAUGCCUGACCAAGGUCGCCGAGUAUCGGGACAAGCUGUAUCGCUUCCUCAACUACAUGAUGGCCCACACCAUCUGUGGUAGGUCGGAGAGCAUCUAUGCAAUUACCCUCAUGGAACUGCAUCUACUGUACGCCUACAUGGCAUGGGAGCCGAUCCACCUCGGUAGCGUCAUGCCCCUCACCUUCCAUUUCUUCUGCUUCAACCCUUUCUUGAAGGUCCUCCCAGGAGGUGCUUAGAUCACUAGGAUUGCUCGCUAUUUUGGCCUCUUCGAGCACUACUCUCAGGUCUGAUGCCUCCCUCCUUUCCGCAUGGGCAAGUCUACCUUGUUGAACAUGCGGAUGCUGUAAAGAGUUCACCGCGGUGGCCAGAUGCUUCUUUUAGAGAAUGCUCUUGCCAGGGCGGCCCAACCUGAGGAGGGAGAUGCUCCUAUGGCACCAGUGGCUCCUUAUCAGCGGAGGGGUCCAAACUCGAGGGUGUUGAUGGUGAUUGAUCAUUUAUCAGCCCAGCUGUACCAUCGACUUGACUUUGUCGACUCCAGGUUGGGCUGGAUGCAGGCGGGCCUGGCUCACCAGUACUCGGACCGGUCGGCUCCUCUGUAUGUUUGAUUCCAGCAGGCUGCCGACGAUGAGGAGGAAGAGGAGGAUGAGGAGGAGUGAGCUCAAGUCUUUUGUUGUUGUUGUUGUUGUUGUUUCCCUUCAUUUCGGCCUCUGCUCUCUGGAAACUCCUUUUGUUUAUUGUUGACCACCUAUGUGGCCUACUGCUCAUCAUGCCCGUGGUCGCCUGCCACCAACGACCGUGACCGCCAUCCAGUCACGCCUGUGUUGUGCAUACCCACAACGCCCAUGACGUCCUUUUUGGUAACACUCGUAACUGUGUAUAUACCACACACGUUACAGCAUGCUCACCACGGCCAUGGUCAAAUCGUCAUCGCGUCCAUGGUUAGCUUCAUGUCACGCCCGUGACUAACUGUUUCUCAAAAAAUUUCAGAGCUGCUACUAUUUCAACAUUACCACAUUACUAUCUUUCUAGGACUCGUAGAGGCCUAUCUCUGCUUCUUUCCUAACCAUUUCCUUCGAACCUUAGAUGCUUCCCAUCCUUGCCUGCAAGCAUAAUCCUCAAUUGAACACCAAAGGCUCCUUGCCUCUUUGAUGUAAUCACUCCCAAAGAGCAAAAAAUUCCCUCAAACCCUGAAUUCUUCCCCACUUUGGGUUUUGAACAUUUCCUCAUCACUGACUCUAUCGAAGAGUUCCAUCGUAUUUGACUCAUGGAGUCCAUCCACUAUAUUCCCUUAUCACUACCCCUCUUCUUACUUGAACUCCUAGAGUUCUACAGAAAAACUUUGAAUCAAGGAAGUAAGGUACACCGCCCUUGGUUCCUGAAUCUCUUUCUUUUGUCUUCCUGGAGCUGGCAGGAGCGCGGUCGUUCAAAUCUGACUGCGGGAACGUUCCCUAUUGAAAACACCUGAGUUUAAAAACCUUUUCUUAAAACUCUUUUGAAACAACUGACUCACCACAUCAUGACAUUCCUAGACACUCAACUACCGCCCCCUUGGAAGUCUAGUACCAUUACAAGUGUGAACUCACCUUCAACCUGCUGAGGUUCGCGACACCUCUGAGGAGAAGGGAACACAUCGGUAUCGACAUAAGAUAAUCAGUCUCUAAUACCAUUCGUGAAAUCUCGCCCUAGGAGCCCGGUCGAACCGCUGGUUCAAACGAAGAAUCCUACUCGGGUUUCAACCUGAACCGUAAAUCAACUCUAAUAUACUAACAAGGCAUUAAAAAUAUAAGCAUUAAAAGCUGAACUGUAAUACUUUAUAAAACUGUCCAACUCGGAUCCCGGAUUCCAAAAUAUAACAAAUCAAACGAGAUACAACUCCAGUUUGAAAAUACAUAAAAAUUGAUAUAAUCUGAAAUCAAAACCCCAACUAGCUCUCACUUUACCAUAAGCUCCAGUACCUGUGACUGAACACAGAUAUGCCAUGGAAAAUAAUAUCUAGCGGGGUCAGCAUUAAAAGCUGACGUGAGACUGAACUGAGAGUUUACUAAAACUGAAACUGAUUAUAGAACAAGAAAGUUAACCUAGUCACUAUUCUAAUAAAAUGAACCUGUGUUCCUGUAGGCAUUAUCGUAUCAUGAGUCACCCCUAGCUGAAGUUGAUAGCUCAUAGUGGAUCAGACCAUGAAAAAUAUUACGUAGACCGUAGAUAUCGUGUGAGCAGCAUCAGUAGGCAUAUCAGGAGUUAUACAUAUAAGGGAUUGAACAAUCCAUAGGUGGUUGACCAAUGCAUAUCAGGAGCUAAUCUAGCUAAACCUGAUUUCCUGUCCUAGAUAUGAACUGUGAAUCACAUUUCAAAUGUCAUGAGCUUAUGCUAGAAUAUAGUCAUCGGUACAGUAGAACACGAGCUACUAUACGGCCCCACAGCCCUACUCUAUAAUUAAACACCAAUAUAUGUACAGUAGAACACGAGCUACUGUAUGGCUCAGAGCCCUGCUCUAUAAUCAUCACAUCAAUGCAUGUGUACUAGAACACAAGGUACUGUACGAGCCCAUAGCCCUAUUCUGUUUCUCAUGAAAUCCAAUCCUUGGAUUCCUAACAACCUAAUUAUAGUUCUACACUUUAAAGCAUAAAGUAAUCCUAGACCCCCACCUGAAAGUGCUUUCCUAAUCGAGUCUGAUCUGUCGCAUCCUCCCUAGAUCUCAAUCUCCUUAUUCGUAACUUGUAGAGAUCAAACAUAGGAUUGAAUUCCUAAAUUCCCACAUCUGAAUCCUGUCAAGAUUUUCCAUAACGUAGUAUUCAAAUCAAGAAAUUGAAAAAGAAGGAAGAAGAUAGAAUACCUUCUCAUGACCCUCCUAGCCUCCUUAAUUCCCUAUCCAUGAUCCUAAUCAAUCAACUCAGCUUUUCUUGAUCGAGACUCCUUCAUCUAAGGAAAGGGAGUCGCCGCCUGGAGAUAUUCUUUUACGUCUCUUAUUAAAUUGUGCUUAAGGUCACGAUACUGACUUAUAUAAUAAGUCCACCACUUCCAUGGCUGACUUACCACCAUGUCCUUGGCUGCCUGAUCAUCAUGCUUGUAAUACCCCAACCACAACGAACUAGAAAUUAUAUUAUUUACUUGAAAUAGCAGAAACUUUUUGGGGUGUUACGCUCCUCAUCACGUUACUAAAAGCAUGACCGAAUAAACCAUUUAAUUUGUUUCCUAAAUCAAUGGCCCUGCAUUGUUAGAAAUCCAAUACUAAUCACAUUUAAACGCAUUGCACGUUGACUUGUGAAAUAUAUAGAUAGAUUCAUUUCGUAUAAACCAUAAUAGGAAUCUUUAAGGACACACAAUAGUUGAAAAGUCAUUCACUCCACCUAUAUAUAUGGAGUUGCCAAAUACGUUGCCUUUAUGGCCAUUACACAUCAUAACAAAAUCUCACAUCAUUUAAACACACAUGACAUAUGCAUAUGACGAAAGAUAUAUAUAUCUUGAGGCUUCAGAGCUGCCAAGCAGGGCAGCGAUGGUAGGCUUGGCAGCGUUAGCGAUUAUUGUGUUCAUCACUGUGUUUGUCCUGUGGUUGUGGUUAGGUUCCUUGAAGACAAAGAUGAAUCAGAAGGCCCCCAGCCUGUGGUCAAUGUGCAUCUGCUCGAGGAUGAGGAAGAAGUGUCACAUCUCAAAGGUUUGGAUUUCUAUGGCUCUUUCGAAUUCCUAGUAUCACUCUUUUGAAUUCCUAGUAUCACGUCCUGUUUUCUAAUUGUGUCGUUUCUGGUUAUAGCGUUGCUUAUUCAAUCAGAAAUUAUGGCUUGGUAGUUAAUUCAUUAUGGAACUGUGAGUAUGAAUCCUGGUUAGAUCAUUUUAGCAAUUGUCAUAUAGUUAGUAUUCUAAAUUGAUUUGAUGGAUGCUAUAUGUCCAUGGUGAGAUUGUCAGGCUUGUUUUUAGCAAAUAAGCAAUUUUGUUUCUACUCCUGCGAAUUGAUUGGAGUGGGUUUGUUCGAUUGGUUAUAAAUACAUGGGGCUCUGAUAGGGGAGGGUUUUAUAAAUAUCUAGGAACCAAUAACCAUUCUAGGAAUUACUGGAUGGCACUUGUGUAGGGUGUUCCAUGUGGGUAUGCAUUUACGGGAUGGUGUCAUAUGUUGCAAAAUAGCAAGUAUUUUAAUUGCCAUUCUAUGGAAUAUCUGGUGAUAACAGGAUGAUUGUUGUGCAUGUACACACUUUCUCUUAUUACUGAAAAUUGAGGUUUAUACUGUAAACGAAAUUAUGUUCAUGCCAACCGCUUGCUAGCUUUUUCUGAACACUUUAUGAAAACUUUGCUAGUGAAAGAUGUCAUUUCGUAAGUGUAAUGACAUAUAGUCUUGUGUGAUUGCUAGGUAUGGUGUAACUAUUAGUAAUAACUUCUGUUAGAAUUUGAAUUCGCUAAAGGGUGUUUUGAUUUCUGUUACUAGCAAGGUUUAUCUCGUAGCAUUUGAAAUUUUGCAAUAUCUGGUGAUAACAGGAGGAUUGAUGUGCAUGUACACACUUUCUCUUAUUUUUGAACAUUGAGGUUUAUAUUGUAAACGAAAUUGUGUUCAUGCCAACCACUUGCCAGCUUUUUCUUAACACUUUAUGAAAACUUUGCUAGUGAAAGAUGACAUUUUCGUUAAGUGUAGUGAAAUAUGGGCUAGUGUGAUUGCUGGGUAUGGUGUAACUUUCAGUAAUAACUUCUUUAAGAAUUUAAAUUUGCUAACGGGUGUUUUGAUUUCUGUUACUAUCAAGGUUUAUCCCGUAGCAUUUGAAAUUGGUUCUCAUAAACCCUUAGCUUCAAAUUUACGCUUGGAAUGCAUUGCCUUUAUAAAGUUUAUUCUAAAUAGAGAUGGGCUAACUGGUAGACUGUUGGGUGAACUGUGGAUGAGUUAUUGCUCAAUGUGAAAGGUAUGAAAAUAUCUGGCUCCUACCAAUUUCAUCCAUAACUCUUGUUAAGAUUCUGGCUUAAAUCAUACGAGCACAAUGGGUUUGCUCAAAGAUUAACAAACACGGAAGCAUGUUUACAGAUUUCCUUCCGUUUUAGCGCAUGUGUUUACUGUUUUCUGUAGUGCUUACCAAGAUUAUCUCUUGUUAGUUGUAUCUGGCCGAACCCGAUUCAGACAAACAAUGUGAAACCUCGAGAACUGUUAUGUGGAGGUACAAUUAGGGUAUGGAUAUUGAAUUAUCCAAGCCGAACCCGACCCGGUUAUUUUUUUUUGUAAUGAGAUGUUUUUAUGUAUAUAAUGAUUAAUUAUUUUCAUUUUUACAACUACCAUGUAUGAAAUAAUCAAAUGUUUGAGUUAUAUAAUUUAAUUUUGUUCUAUUAGUGAUUUAUAUAGUUUAAGUGUUUGAAAAACGAUAUAAUUUUUUGAUUUUUAUAGUUUAAGUGUUUGAAAAAUGAUAUACUUUCUUGAUUUUUUGCUACGAGUUUUCAAUUUUUUUCGAUUACGGUUAUAACCGAACCCCGCCUCAGAACUGAAGAGUAUGGGUACGAUAUGAUAUUUACUACCCGAAAUGUUAUAUAAGGUGGGUAUUGUCUGAACCUGAAACUACAACGAGUGAGGAACGGAUAUCAACUAUCCGAACCUGAACCCGAUCGAGGCCAAACUUUAAGACACAAUUAAGUGGGUCUAAAGUUCAAUUAGAAGAGAAAAUUUUUUUAGUUAAUAGGUAAUUUGAUUAAGUANNNNNNNNNNNNNNNNNNNNNNNNNNNNNNNNNNNNNNGGAUAUAGUUCCUAGACUUUUUACUUUAAGUUUUGAAGUUUUUUUUAUUACGGGUAUAACUGAACCCCGCCUGAGAACUAAAGUGUACGAGUACGAUAUGACAUUUACUACACAAAACGUUAUAUAAGGUGGGUAUUGUCUGAAACCGAAACUACAACAGGUGGGGAACGGGUAUCAACUAUCUGAACCUGAACCUGAACCUGAUCAUUGCCAAGCCUUAAAACAUAACUAAGUGGGUCCAAAGUUAAGUUAGAUGAGAAAAAUAUUUUUAAUAAAUAAUAUGUAUGUGUUUAGUUAAUAUCUAAUUUGAUUAAGUGUUUGUAAGAUGAUAUAAUUUCUUGAAUUUUUGCUUCGAGUUUUGAAGUUUUUUCGAACUUAACCCCACCUAAGAACUGAAGGGUAUGAGUACUUUAUGAUAUUUACUACCUUAAACGUUAUAUAAGGUGGGUAUUGUUUGAAUCCGAAAUUACAAAGGGUGAAAAACGGAUAUAACCAUCCGAGUCUUAACCCGAUCGUUGCCAAACUUUAAGACACUACUAAGUGAAUGUAAAGUUCAAUUAGAAGAAAAAAAUAUCUUUAUUAAAUAAUAUAUAUACAUGUUUAGUUAAUAGUUGGGCCAAAAAAUACUAAAAAUAAAAAAAAAAACUUAUAGAAAAAUCAGGAGUAAUAAAAUACUAAAGAAAAUUGNNNNNNNNNNNNNNNNNNNNNNNNNNNNNNNNNNNNNNNNNNNNNNNNNNNNNNNNNNNNNNNNNNNNNNNNNNNNNNNNNNNNNNNNNNNNNNNNNNNNNNNNNNNNNNNNNNNNNNNNNNNNNNNNNNNNNNNNNNNNNNNNNNNNNNNNNNNNNNNNNNNNNNNNNNNNNNNNNNNNNNNNNNNNNNNNNNNNNNNNNNNNNNNNNNNNNNNNNNNNNNNNNNNNNNNNNNNNNNNNNNNNNNNNNNNNNNNNNNNNNNNNNNNNNNNNNNNNNNNNNNNNNNNNNNNNNNNNNNNNNNNNNNNNNNNNNNNNNNNNNNNNNNNNNNNNNNNNNNNNNNNNNNNNNNNNNNNNNNNNNNNNNNNNNNNNNNNNNNNNNNNNNNNNNNNNNNNNNNNNNNNNNNNNNNNNNNNNNNNNNNNNNNNNNNNNNNNNNNNNNNNNNNNNNNNNNNNNNNNNNNNNNNNNNNNNNNNNNNNNAUAUCUAACAACAGCCGCUUAUCCGUUGUUAGAGCGACCAAUGUUAAUGGAUCCUAACAGCGAUUCAGGCAGCCAUAAUUAAAUUAAACCGCCAAACAACAAUACUAAGUCGCUGUAAGGAUAUAAUAUUCUAACAGUUGCAUGUUGGCUGCAAUUAACCGCGACUCCAACGCCGCUGUUAGGAUUCUCAGUAUCCCCCAAAAAAAUUACAACCCCGAGUAAUGACUACUGUGCCUAUAAAUUUUUCUUACCCAAACUUUAAAUUAUCAUAUAAUAAAAUAGAUAUCAUGAAAGUUCAUAAAAACAACGUUUGAACUUCAUUGUUCUUAGACACUAUUUGAAACCCUUAGCUUGUGUCAUAAUUCUAAUUUGAAACACUACUCUUCAUCAUUUUCAUCAUCUUCAUUGUCCUUCUCUUUAUCCAUGUUUGUUGGAGUGUUGGUAUCCGAAGGCGUUAUGCUACCACCACAUCCUUGACUCUCAAGCAUUACCCUCAUCUCCUCCAAUUCCAGGAUCAAGCCAACCGACGAGUUAGCAAGAUGAGCUAAGAUUUUCGAUUGAAAGAUGAUAAAGUACUCGGGAAUAUUCUGAUUCGUUGUUUGUUGGGAACCAGAAAAAGAAGAUCCUCCUUUAUAGACCUGUCAUGAAGUUACAAAUAAGACAUUGUAUAAAAAAAAAUGGACAUGAAUUAUUUGUAUUUUUACCUAAACUCGUACUCGUUCACCUACAAAAUCAGAAUUCAAAACUUCUUCAAAGAUACAAUCUAUCCAAAACUCAAAGAAGUGGCUGUCUAACUAGUUCUUUUAUGCAUCAUUUUACUAACUACUUCAAAAUAUAUCGUACUAGCUCUACUAACCACAUAACCAUAAACUCAACCAAGUGAUUUCCUAAACUACUACUCACUCAUUUUGCUUUAACUCCAAACACAUUAUGAUACACUAUACCUGAUUUAUCUUUCCCAUCCAUUGCACUAUAUGCUCUCCCUACGACAUCAUUCUUUCUAGUGUUGGUAUCAGUAUUAAGGUCAUUCGCCAACCCUUUCACAAAAUUCUGUAAUUAGUUGCAAUGAGUAUUAUAACAAUUGCAAUUGAAUUCAUUUAAAUCACAAUAUAGUAUGAGUUUUGAAACCUACAACUAACUCUCAUGUGGGAUGUUCGCAUGAUCACAUCUUCUCUUUCAUAAUACUUAAGGAAUACUUAUGUUCUUCCGAUUAGACUCCUUUUCUUUUUCUUUUAUANNNNNNNNNNNNNNNNNNNNNNNNNNNNNNNNNNNNNNNNNNNNNNNNNNNNNNNNNNNUAUCCUACAAAGUGUGUUUUGAUACUUACCAAUUCUUCACACACUCAGAUGAAAGAAUUUAAUCCUUUAUAUGAUAGAUGUCUUAAUUAGCCCGAUUUAUUUUGUUUCUCUGUGAGACUUCCUAUAUUUAUUAAAAGACAUAAAUUAUAUUUCAAAUCAUAGAAACUAAAAGAAGGAAGAUUAGUUAUUCUAUUUUUUUUGUUUGCCUAGUUAAUUAGCUUACCAAAUACUCUUUGGAAUAAUUAUAUCUACAGAAUAUAUCCCAAUCACGUGCAUUUAUUAAAGGUGGUCUCUUUGGGAUGUUGAACUCAACACCUGAGUUUCAUCAUUUUACCUUCCUCCACAGUUAUCAUCUUCGUUCCCUCCACUUAGUUAUGUUUAUAUCUUUGACUUGUUCAAGGAUUUGAGUUCCAGAUAGAAGUAGAAAAAAUAUGUUAAUGGACCUGCUCCACGAUGAAGACGGUUAAGCAACAAACGAAGCAAGACUGAGUAGAGGGAGGUAAUCCAAACAUGAAGUUCUUUCAGGCUUCGGCCAAUGGUAGACGAAAUCAUAAACGCCCUAAUUAAGGCUUGCGCAACGAUAACGAUGACAGGAUGGAGGACGGUGGCAGGAUCGGAGGCAUAGCCGUUGCUUACUUUGACAAACUCUUUCAGUCACAAAGUUUUGAUUUAACGACAGUCCUUCAAUGUGUCGCAACUUAAUGCGCCUUUUUCAGACCUCGAAUUUCGCACGACAGCUUUUCUAUGGUCAAGUCUCCGAAAUCGGAUGGGUUUAAACCACACUUUCUACCAAGAUCUCAGGGACGUCGUGGGACUUGUCAUCAACCAGGAUUGCUGCUACUGGUUGCCGCACAACCACCUCCGUGGUGCAAGCAAUGGAAAUCAUCCUCAUACCUAAAGUCAACCUGACCACUAUGAAGGAACUCUGGCCUAUCUCGCUUUGCAACAUCCGGUAUAGAAUCCUAGCCAAGGUUUUAGCCAACCCCUUCGGUUGCAUUAUGCCACACUUUGUUCAGGAAGAGCAGUCAGUUUUUAUUCAAGGUCGUUCCAUUGAUAAUGUCAUGAUCUUCUUUCCAUCCCUUCAUAGCAUGACGACUAAACUUUGCACCCUGGUGGGUAGUGCUACUUUGAAGAUUGACGUCCUGAAAGCGUAUGAUCGGGUAGGAUUGAAUUAUUUGGAAGCUCUCUUAGUCAGACUGGAUUUCGACGCCAUUUGUGAUUGGUGCUUUUAUGCGGCCGCUCCGUCUCCUACUUAGUGUCGAUGAAUGAUAAUCAUUUGGUCACAUCGAUCCAAAGCGUAGUCUCAAACAUGGCUCCCGCUGUCACGCUUCCUUUUUAUCAUUUGUACGGAAGACCUUACUGCUAGGAUCCGGUGUGCGGUUCUACAUGGGGAAUUGCAUGGUUAUCUGUAGAGAAUCCUACAGAUUAGAUAAGUUCCCUAUUUAGUUGAAUUAUGUAUUAUUAGGUAAUUACCUCCUAAUAGGAUUUCUAGAGUAGGUAAGUUUCAUAUGGAGACUUGUGUAUAUAACCCUAUCGCCUACGGGCCUUCUAAUAAUAAGAGUAGAUUAUCAUUCUCUCAAAUCUACAUGGUAUCAGAGCCUAAACCCUCUGUACCUUAAACCCUAAAGUCUUCCGCCGACGCUACCUCCGAUCGAAGCCAUGACGAAUGACGGAACCGUCUUUGUGAGCACAGGAGCUGUCCCUACUGGAAAUAACCAGAGCACAGUCGUACCAGUGACGAACACAGACUACUCUGGUUUCCUCAAUAGGCAUAAACUCGACGGAAAGAACUACCUUAAAUGGUCCAAGACAGUUCAGAUGCACAUCAAAGGAAGAGGAAAAGGAGGGUACUUGACUGGCGCAAUCACGGCACCAGCGAGCACUGAUCCUCAGUUCCAGACCUGGGAUGAGCAUGAUAACCUAGUCAAGAACUGGUUGAUCAAUGGAAAACUACAUUCUUCACCCAACUGCCAAGGCUAUCUGGGGGAUGCAGCCAGAAAAACGUACUCUACUGUUGACAAUUCAUCGGCUAUGUUCAAAAUCGAACAUCAGCUCUUCCACCUUCAUCAGGGGGAGAUGGAUGUCACGGAGUACUAUAAUCAGCCGGGACAUCAUUGGCUUCAUCUAAAUAAUUAUGAAGCUCAAGACUGGGAUACUCCCGGCGACCAGGAGAAAUUCCGGCAGCAUAUUGAAAAGAAGAGGACUCUGGCCUUCCUUUUGGGAUUAAACCAGAACCUUGACGGAAUUAAGAGUCGCGUUAUGAGCACAAAGCCCUUCCCUUCUCUAAAAGAGGCUUUUGCAGAGAUCCUAGAGGAGGAAUACCAACGGGAUCUCAUGGUGAAUCAAACAACACAAACAACACUCCUCUUCCAGCUGAAGGCUCAGCUCUGACUGUUCGUGGCCAAUACCAGAACAAACAGAGUCAACACUCUAAUCAGCCAAGAAGGGAUGAUGACGAAGAUAAAUAUUGUGAUCGUUGUCGUUGUCAUGGUCACUCUAGAGCUGAAUGCUGGUACCUAAUUGGAGGUCCACCAGGAUGGAAACUAGCAAACCCCGAUAAGAAGAAGAAGGGUAAAGCUAACCUAGCAACAGCCACGGAGCAACCACAACAGAGCAGUCCAGCAGCCACCUCCUUCUCAAAGGAACAGGCCGCUGCAAUGGAGAAGUUCUUCAACCUCAUGGUUCAGAAUCAACCAUCUUCCCAAAAUCAGCCAGAAAACUUCUCCAGUCACUUUGCUAAUCAAGGUAAAUCCUCUCAUGCCUACUCUAUUCAGUCUAAACCUUGUGAAACAUGGAUAAUAGAUUCAGGAUGUUCGGAUCACAUGACGAUAUUUUUGGCAACAGUUUUGGUUUAAUGUCUUGCGGCUUGGUUUGGAAAGUUUGAAUUCCUGAUUGUUAUUGUAUUUGGUUGUUGUACCGUUUGGCUGAUAAAAUAUGACUGACUGAUUGGUUUCGGUUUGACUGGCUCAUGGUUUCCACAUUUGGACUCGUUUUUGUCAGGAAGACAUGUUGAAUGUGUGCUAGACUAGGACUGUCAUUAGUUUUUGCAUAAAUAUAUCUCCUGCUUAGCAAGUAAAUCAGCUUAUGCAUCUAGAAACUAUUGUCUUACUAAGGUGGAUUGGUAUUUGAGGGAGUCAAAACAGGAGAAUAACUAACAUGCACAUCCAUGAAUUCUAGAGUGAGGGGAGCACUACACAUUUGAUGAUUCAGUAUACGAUUUAGGUGAGGAAGUUAGAAUUCCUGAUUGGUUUGGUUUCCAUAUUGGUUUGAUUGAGGUAUCAAGUUUGUUAUUUAUGACAGAAAUUUUUUUUCAUCUCUCAUCUGUCUGCUGAGUUCGUUUAUUGCCUAAUCGAUAACUUAGAGGGAUUUGCUUAUAUCGUAUUUUGCUUGUGAAAUAGUUUUUAUGUGUAGAUUGUGAAAUAGCUUGAUUGUUCAGUUUUGGAAAAACUUCGAUUUGAGUACAAAUCUGAAACUCUAUGCAUCUCUCAAAUGCAUGCUUACCAAUUUAAGUUCUGUAUCACAUAAUUAGACUGAAAUUGUGUGUUUCACUCAUUAAUUUUUGCUUGUUUUAUGUAUUGGUUGUAAUUGUUCAAACCGAAGGGAAUACGACCUUAGACCACACCUAACAUGGUAGUGUGGCCUUGAGAUCGAAUGCCCAACUCGGCUUUUUGUUUCAUUAGUCAGAACAGCAUCAUAACGUAAUUAUCAAAGAGAUAGGCAAUAAGUAGAGAUGAAAGUGUAGGGCACUUGGAACGGGUUGAGAGUAUUUAGCUUCAUUUGCUUUCCCUUAUUUUGUGUUGAUUGUGUGGGGCUUCAAUGGAAUCGAUACAAACUAAAGAGAGCACCAACCAAUUCCUGAAAAUUAUGACUGGAUGUCAGAAGCACAUAAUAAUGCUAAAACGCUUGCAAGUCUUCACCAGCACUCUUUCUUUUACUGAUAAAUAAAAAGACGAACUUUAACAAGCUUUCAUUAACUAGAAGGCACAUUUCUACAUCACUGUAAGAUGAAACUUUUGUAAAAUGCAAAUUGCCAAUUAAAAUGGUCAAAUAGAUCAUUACGUUCAUCAUAGUCUAACAGCACUAGAUAUCGACUUAAGAAGCUUAACUACUUCUUAAAAGCAGUGCUAUGCCAUUUAAGGUUUUCCCCAAAGCAACAAACUGGAUGGUGAAACAAGGAAUUGAUCUAAACUAUCAAGACUAGUGGAAGAGCAACAUCAAGUAUGCAAACAAAGUUGACAUUGAAGUAGGGUUUAGGGUUUAGGUGGUAGCCUCACCAAGUUCCCCAUCAGAACAUGAGGAAAGAUGACAACCAGACAUUCAGCAUGUAUACCAAAGAAGGAGAAGAGCAGAUCCAGAGGGGUCCAAGGAGACUACAAUUGCAGCCAGUACAGUUGAUGUUGAAGAUGUGGCUGAACCAGAACCAGCUCCACAAUCAAAAAAUGGCGAAACUGCAGUUGAAGAAAUGCACCAGCCCGCGACUUGACCUAUACUUGCUAAUAGCAAUGAGGAAAGGCGUCCGGGAAUGCACUCGUCAUCUUAUUCAAAGGUAUGUCAAUUAUGGCCGUCUUAGUCCAGAAUUCCGAGCCUUUACAACUCACCUGGAUACUAAGCCCAGAACCAUUGAAGAGGCAAUGAAAAUACCAGAAUGGAGACAGGCUGUUCUUGCUGAAAUUGCAACACUGGAAAAGAAUGGUACAUGGCGAAUAGUCACCUUACCACACGGGAAACACGCCGUGGACUGUAAGUGGAUAUUCACCAUCAAAUACAAGGCAAAUGGAUAUGUAGAAAGGUACAAGGUACGACUUGUAGCUCGUGGCUUUAGCCAAUCCUACGGUGAUUAUCAAGAAACAUUUGCCUCUGUGGCAAAACUGAACACAGUGAGGAUCCUACUUUCCAUUGCCACUAAUAAGGAUUGGCCUCUAUACCAAAUGGAUGUUAAGAAUGCGUUCUUGAACGGAACCUUGACUGAGGAAGUAUAUAUGACUAUUCCAGAAGGUGUCCAACAUACCAACGACGCAAGAGUUGUGUGCAAAUUGGAAAAAUCCUUGUACGAAUUAAAGCAGUCCCCCGUGCUAGGUUUGAGAAAUUCUCAAGCACGGUGAUUGCAAAUGGGUAUCACUAGUGUCAAACAGACGACACAAUGCUUGUUAAACACAGUGCUGGAAAUAGGAGUGUCAUACUUAUUGUCUAUGUUGAUGAUAUAAUCAUCACAUGAGAUGAUGAAGAUGAAAUUGCAAAAUUAAAGGUGAAACUGGGAAUAGAGUUCGACCUAAAGGACUUGGGAAAAUGAAAUAUUUUCUGGAAAUGGAAGUGGCCAGAUCAGGUGUAGGAAACUCCAUUUCUCAACGAAAGUACGUCCUGGACCUUCUAGAUGAAACAUGGAUGAUAGGCUGCAAACCAGCUGACAUUCCGAUGCAGCAAAACCUCCAGUUCAGCAAAGAAACUACAACAGGCCAACAGAUAAGGGAAGAUAUCAGAAGCUAGUUGGUAAACUGAUAUACCUCUCACACACACGACCUGAUAUUACAUUUGCAGUGAGUGUGGUGAGUCAGUUCAUGAACAAACCUAUUGAAGAGCAUAUGGAGGCAGUAACCUGCAUUUUGAGAUAUCUGAAGAAAACUCCGGGACUCGGGGUUAUUAUUCAAGAAAACUAAUAACAGAUCAGUGGAAAUGUUCACUGAUGCUAACUGGGCAAUUUAAAUUACUUCUCGAAGGUCAAUGACAGGCUACUGCUCAUACGUUUGGGGAAACCUAGUUACAUGAAGGAGUAAGAAGCAGUCCGUGGUAGCCCGAAGUAGUGUAGAGGCCGAAUAUAGAGCAUUGGCUCUUGGAAUUCAAGCGCUAAUGUGGAUACAACGAGUCCUUAAAGAACUCGAUCUUCUAGGACAAGGAAAAGCGUCACUGUUCAGUGACAGUCAAUCGGCACUAAGUAUAGUCAAGAAUCCUAUCCAUCACGAUAGAACAAAGCAUGUCGAGAUAGACAGGCAUUUCAUAACAGAAAAGGUUGAAACUGGAAUAGUGGAAAUCAGCUAUGUACCGUCUAGGCAACAGACGGCUGAUGUUCUCACUAAGGCUCUGUCUCAAGAGCUUCUAGAGUACCAGUACUUCAAGUCCAAGCUUGGCCUUGUGAAUAUCUACACCAAGUUUGAGGGGGAGUGUAAAAAAUCCUACAGAUUAGAUAAGAUCCCUAUUUAGUUGUAUUAUGUAUUAUUAGGUAAUUACCUCCUAAUAGGAUUUCUAGAGUAGGUAAGUCUCAUAUGGAGACUUGUGUAUAUAACCCUAUCGCCUACGGGCCUUCUAAUAAUAAGAGUAGAUUAUCAUUCUCUCAAAUCUACAUUAUCGGGUGAACCGACAUGCACUAUUUGUAGACAACUUCGUCUUCUUUUGCAGGCCGAAAUUCUAGAAGCUCGAUGAGUCAGGCGAAAUUUCUUGGCUUACCCUAUGUUCAAUGGAAAUGUCCCACCAUCAGCAAAUAUGUGGGUAGCUGCGCUUCAGGUCCAAAUCAAAUUGUAUGGUAUUUCAAUAGCAAUUAGCAGUUUACCGUGUGUUCGGCCUACCGCUUGUACAUAGACAAAAUAAUCGACUGGACCGACCAUCACAAACCCGACAAGUGGAGAAUUGUGGGAUACAAACCUCCCCCAAAUUCCACCAUUUGCUAUGGAGAAUUUGCCCCGCACGUGCUACCAGCGCGGGGUCGGUUGCUGCAUCAAUGUAUCGAUGUGAAGGGAGCUUGUGGUAUCUAUGGUCUUGCCUAUGAAUAUGGAUGGCAUCUCUAUCCUGUGUGCCCUUUGCUAAAGUUUGUUGGGAGCACCUUGGCAUGCAUGCAACCCGCGGUGGACUAUUAAACCUGAUCUUUCUACUGAACUGAUGGGUGUUCUCUCCAUUUUGUUUUUCGGUAAUUGGAUGUGAGAAAUUGCGCUUAAAUCUCUUAUUUUGUGCACCCAUUCUUCUGCCCAACUAGAUGUUCUACCAACGAGUUGUUUGAAUGGAGAGCCGAGUGAAUUGAGUGAGAAUAUGAACCUUCCUAUGUAAAUAAGUCAUAGAAAAUAGUUGGUUCCUCACAUAGCGUACAAAGGAAAGUAAUAAAAGGGGAAUGAUGUCGAGAAGAAUAAGCGUAUUAGAGUUUUAUCCUCGAGACAAAGAAGUAUUAGGGUUGUGCCCGAGAAUGUCAGACCAACGAGUAUAUCAUACGGUAGUGUAUGCCUCAGAUGUGUAGGGUCGGGGUAGAUGAUAUCAUAAAUAUAAUGGCCAUCAUAUCUUAUAUAGGUCAAUGGUGGCAUGUGACUAGUUGCCUAAUGUCCACUGAUGACUGAGUAAGCCUGGGAAAAAUCCUAAACGUUGAUAAUGAAGAGCCUGAAUGCACCUAGGCCUGCGAUCCUGCAUAGUAUAAUUCAUCCCCUUGAAUGGUGUGCACCUUGGUAGCUGACGUGAUGUGGCACCUUAUCACAUCGAUGGGUAAGGUAAUGGAAGUCAAUGGCCGGUUCUCUAGUGGUUUAGAUUUGCUGGCCGACCAACGAUUAGAGCGUGAUCUACUCGGCAUAAGCAUUUUGGUUUGCUGAUUAUUGGAAGUGGGUCGAGCCAUCAUCUCCAAUCUUCAGGUCCAUGGUUGAGGUCAACCAUUUGGAAACUGGAUUGGCUUCAUUAUCCCACUAUUUGUACUUAUUUGUGGUGGCGGCAAGUUUGGUUGUGGUACUGGGAUAAGAGUCCUUAUUAAGUCAACUUCCUAAACAAGGUAGGUAAUUCCAUAUGUGAUUACCAAUAUUAACCAUGUAAUAUGGUAAUCAUUAGUUGUUAGUGAAGAAAUCCCGUUCAUAUUUGUAUAUAUUCAUAUCACAGUUAGUUUAUUUGCUAGUUAGAUAGUUACCAUGUUAGUACUAGACCUACCCUAUUUUAGCUAGCAGAUCCUAUUACAUAGUUAGAGUAAAUAUUUUCUCACCUAAUCGGUAGGAGGCCUAUUGUAUAUAUUGAGCCUACGAGACAUGAAUAAAAUUAGUCAUUCUCUCAAUCUUCAUGGUAUCAGAGCCUACUCUGUACCUUUCCUAAGCACUUCCGCUGCAAUCCGAAGCCAUGGUGACAGACGGAGCCUCAAACGGAUCUGAUACUGCUGGAGAGACCGCGAGCUCCAUGGCACCAGCAGCAACUACGGAUUACUCGAGCUUCCUCACCACACAUAGGCUGGAUCGAAAAAAUUAUCUCAAAUGGUCUAAGACCGUGGAGAUGCAUAUCACAGGAAGAGGAAAAGGAGGAUACCUCACUGGAAAAAAAUCAAAGCACCAGACGAGACAGAUCCAAAAUUCCAAACCUGGAAUGAACAUGAUAAUUUGGUGCGUACCUUCUGAUCCACUAAAUGAAGCCGAACAUCAUGGAAAAUUACAUCCUUCACUCGACUGCCAAGGCCAUCUGGGAUGCUGCCAGAAAUACGUACUCAACAAUUGACAACUCCUCUGCCAUGUUCAAGAUCGAGCAGCAGUUGUUCCAUCUUCAGCAAGGGGAAAUGGACGUCACAGAGUACUACAAUACUCUUGGGCAUCACUGGCUACACCUGGAUACGUAUGAUGCAUAGGAAUGGGAUACUCCUGAAGAUCAGCUACGAUUCAGGAUGUAUAUUGAGAAGAAAAGGACCCUGUCCUUUCUCAUAGGGUUAAAUCAGGAUCUGGACAGCAUAAAGAGCCAAAAUAAUGAGCACCAAGCCCUUCCCUAGUCUCACGGAGGCGUUUGCUGCCAUAUUUGGGGAAGAAAAUCGAAGAGAUCUCAUGGUUGUUCUAGCCAAACCUCCUCCUACUCCUCAAGUUGAAAGUUCGGCCCUUGCUGUGCGCAAUCAAUACCGCAACAACAAGCAGGUGCAAAACCCACCAAAAGGAGAAGAGGAAGAAGACAACUACUGUGACCACUGCCGAAGACAUGGACACACAAGAAGUGAGUGUUAUUUUCUGGUUGGAGGCCCUCCAGGCUGGAAACCACGCAGCAAGAGACGUGGCCAAGCUCACGUGGCUGCUGCUGCUGCAGACAAGCAACCAGAGACUGAGAGCAGUCCCUUUACUAAGGAACAAGCCACUGCCCUAGAGAAGUUCUUCACCAAAAUCAUGAGCAGGAAUCCACCUUCACAGCAAACAAAUUCAUCCUCGGACACAUACACCGAAUUGUUUGCUAGUAAAGGUUCAAUUCUAAACAACCUGCUAAGUGGAUAAUAGAUUCAGGAUGUUCAGACCUGAGGAAAUACCGUAUAUAUUUGUAUAUAUUUAAGAUCAUAGUUAGUUUAUUUAGUUACCAUUUUAGUACUAGUUCUAUCCUAUUCUAGCUAGUAGAUCCUAUAAAAUAGUUAGAGUAAAUAUAUUCUUACCUAAUCAGUAGGAAGAAUGCUGUAUAUAUUGAGCCUACGGGACAUGAAUAAAAUCAUUCAUUCUCUCAAUCUUCAAGACCAUAUGAUGGGAUCCAGAGAGGUGUUAAUAGAGUUCCAAACUUAUCCUAGUACUCUGGGUCCGUAUUGCUGAUGGUAGUUUAUCAACUAUUGAGGGGAUAGGCAGGGUUAAACUGAAUGGCAAGAUUGAUAUAUUCUCUAUCCUAUAUGUACCCUCCUUGAGCUGCAACUUGAUAUCCAUUAGCCAGCUAAGUAGGGAUCUUCAGUGUAAAGCCGUGUUCAGUGCUAAUCAGUGUUCCCUUCAGGAAGAAAGCUCAGGGAAGACGAUUGGAACUGAUGAGUUACAUGACGACCUUUACAUCAUGAACGGGGCUACUUGUGGUGAAGAACUUGGUGGACAAAAUAGAGCGUUGAUUACUAGUAAUAGCACGAAUAAUCGUGAUAGCCAGAUCAUGUUAUGGCAUAGCCGAUUAGGGUAUCCUAGUUUUGGAUAUUUAGAAAAAUUUUUACUUAGGUUAUUUCUCAAUAAAAGUUCCAAGGAUUUACAAUGCGAAGUUUGCCAACUAGCCAAACACACUCAUAGCAGCUAUCUAGGAAUGAGUUAUAAACCUACGAAGCCUUUUGCCAUUAUCCACAGUGACAUUUGGGGCCCUACUCGGGUCAAGAACAUCAACGGGGCACGAUGGUUCCUUACUUUCAUAGACGACCAUACAAGACUAACAUGGACGUUCCUAAUGAAAGAAAAGUCAGAAACCACAACCAUGUUUCAGGAAUUCCAUCACAUGAUACUCAAUCAGUUUGGAACCCAUAUACAGGUUCUCAAAAUCGAUAAUGCCCACGACUACUUCAAUUCAGUCCUAGGGUCAUACUUAUCUCUCCAUGGCAUUGUUCACUGCAGUUCAUGUGUGGACACACCUCAGCAGAACGGAAUUGCUGAGCGUAAGAAUCGACAUCUCCUCGAGACAGCUAGAGCAUUGCUCUUCACCAAACAGGUUCCAAAGUACCUAUGGGGGGAGGCUGUGUUAACAGUAAUCUACUUGAUCAAUAGGCUACCAAGUCGCAUCCUCGACUAUCAAACACCUAAAGAUGUGUUGAUGAAAGCAUACCCACAUGUACAUGCGUAUAUGUCUGAAUUGUAACCUAAGGUCUUUGGGUGCCUUGCCUUCACUCACAUCCAGCAACAUCAAAGGACCAAGCUAGAUCCUCGAGCACAGAAGUGUGUGUUCAUUGGCUAAUAUUCUCCACAAAAAACUGACAGCAGAAAGGUUACAAAUGUUACUCCCCUAUCACCAAGAAAAUUGUGGUGACCAUGGAUGUGACAUUUUUUGAAACCUUCGCAUAUUACAAUACUCCAAAGCUUCAGGGGGAGACACAGCCACAGCCAACAGUGGCAAAGGCAGAAGAAGCUCUAGAUCUGAAAAAUUUAAUUGCUUUAGAUGGGCCAACCAUGCCUCCCAUUCAUACGGGAAUAGUUGGAGAAGAACUAGAACCUGCUCCAAAAACGAGCAGCAGACCACCAAUUCAACAUAUUUACCAGCGGAGACAGAGACUUGAGCCUAAUAUAGAGCCUGAACCAGAAACUGGAGUAAACAGUGAGGGAACUGACCUAAGCCCUGAAUUUAGGGCGUUUACUGUACACUUGGAUACCAAACCUCGCAACAUAGAGGAGGCCAUGAGAAUACCUGAGUGGAGACAGGCAGUUUUGGAAGAGAUAAGGGCGUUACAAAGCAAUGAAACCUGGAGGAUUGUUGACCUACCACCAGGAAAACAAACAGUAGACUACAAAUGGCUGUUUACAAUAAAGUACAGGGCAGAUGGCAGUGUGGAGAGACACAAGGCUAGGCUCGUAGCACGAGGAUUUACACAAACAUAUGGGAUUGACUACCAGGAAACGUUUGCCCCGGUAGCAAAACUCAACACCGUUCGGAUCCUACUGGCAGUGGCAGUAAAUGAAAACUGGCCCCUGUAUCAAAUGGACGUCAAAAAUACAUUCCUAAAUGGAGCAUUAACAGAGGAAGUUUAUAUGAAAAUUCCAGAAGGGGUGCCUCAUGCUAAAACCGGGAGAAAGGUGUGCAAGCUGGAGAAGUCCCUGUACGGACUAAAACAGUCUCCGAGAGCUUGGUUUGGAAAAUUUUCAGCAACUGUAACAUCUAAUGGCUACCACCAGUGUCAAACAGAUGACACAAUGUUCGUGAAACAUGGAGCUGGGAACAAGAUAGCCAUCCUGAUUGUCUACGUCGAUGACAUUAUAAUCACGGGUAAUGACAAUGAGGAGAUUUCAAGGUUGAAGAUCAAACUGGGAACUGAGUUUGAGAUGAAAGACCUAGGAGAAAUGAAAUAUUUCCUUGGAAUGGAGGUGGCCAGAUCAAGCAAAAGACUUUCUAUAUCCCAGAGAAAGGACAUCCUAGAUCUACUAGAGGAAACCGGUAUGACAGGGUGCAAACCGGCAGAUACCCCAAUGCAGUCAAACAUGAAGUUCAGUGUAGAAGAGAACGGGGGAAAAGCAGACAAGGGAAGAUACCAACAGCUGGUAGGAAAGCUUAUAUACCUAGCACACACUCGACCUGACAUAGCUUUUGCUGUGAGUGUAGCCAGUUCAUGAAUUAAUCAAAGAGUGAGCACAUGAAUGCUGUAAAUUAUAUUCUUAGAUACCUAAAGAAAACCCCAGGAUUGGGGCUGAUGUUCAAGAAGAAUGAGAGCAGAAUGAGAGCAGGUCAGUGGAAAUAUACACUGAUGCAAGCUGGGCCAGUGAAAUCACAACGAGGAGAUCGACCACAGGUUACUGCUCUUAUGUAUGGGGAAACUUGGUAACGUGGAGAAGUAAGAAGCAGUCAGUUGUUGCACGAAGCAGUGCAGAAGUAGAAUAUCGAGCUCUUGCUCUCGGGAUUCAGGAAGUCAUGUGGAUACGAGUCCUAAAGGAACUAGGGUUACCAGGACACGGGAGAGCUACACUAUAUAGUGAUAGCCAAUCAGCCUUAAGCAAUGUUAAGAAUCUUGUACAUCACAACAGGACCAAGCAUGUCGAGAUAGACAUGCAUUUUAUCACUGAAAAGGUGGAAGGGGGAGUUGUGGAUGUGAGAUAUGUUCAGUCCAAACAGCAGACAACUGACAUACUCACAAAGGCUCUUCCACGAGAACUAUCAGAACAUUUCAAGUCCAAGCUUGGUCUGCACAACAUUUACACCAAGCUUGAGGGGGAGUGAAGAAAUCCCGUUCAUAUUUGUAUAUAUUCAUAUCAUAGUUAGUUUAUUUGCUAGUUAGAUAGUUACCAUGUUAGUACUAGACCUACCCUAUUUUAGCUAGCAGAUCCUAUUAGAUAGUUAGAGUAAAUAUUUUCUUACCUAAUUGGUAGGAGGCCUAUUGUAUGUAUUAAGCCUACGGGACAUGAAUAAAAUUAUUCAUUCUCUCAAUCUUCGUUAGGAUUCUAAACUAUAUAGGUCUAUCAUUAACACCUAUGUAAUUUAUAUACAAUACAUAUAAAUCGAACGAGGCACAUGUACCUAAUUUGAGAUAUAAAUCGAACGAGGCAACUGUCUUCUAACCUAGCAUUUAUCUCUUCUAUCAAUAACAUAAGAGAAAGAAACAAAUCUUAAACAAAAUUCUAUACCUUUGUUCAAAUGCAGCCACUGUCUUCAGAUACCUAUCACGAGCUCCACACCUGCAAGCUGUAGAUCAAGGUAGCAUCAUCAGGCACUGCAUCAAUGAUUCUAAAUUUCUCGAAAUUCUGCCCUCAGAUUUCAGCUAUUAAUAGUGAAACACCAGCUAUUCCUCGUAUCUCAUGAAAUAAAAUUUGAUGGACUCUUUGCUUUCCUUGGAUUCUUUUCUGGAGAGCUACUUACAUUGAUGAUAUCAGAGGCUACCAACCAGUCCAUGUCGGCGUAUGUGAUGGUUUAGAUGAAGCUUCCCUCAACUCGUUGCAGUGCAUAUCUAAUAUGGAACGGGUACAGAGAGGUUAUGUUUACUCAUAAUAAUUGACUGAGAUUAGUGAUGAGUUGCUGAAUUCCUCAAAACAAUGUGUUGUGUUGAAGCUGUUAAAUGUUUCACCAAGGGUAGAAGCUCCUGCAAGUUUUCUUGUCACCUUUAUCACACGUGUAAAAAGAAUUGUUUUGUAAUGUUGAGUUGAUAUGAUAUCACCCAAGCACCGACUUGUAACCCACUUCUAUCUUAGCAUCUUAGCUGUCUUCCAUAUAUAUAAAUAUCGCCAAUCUUGUAAGCGAGUCUAACAUAAUCCCACCCUACCCAAAUAUAAGUCUUGUGAUCUCUGUACAACAACAGCAACUCGGAGAUAGUAGUACUAGCAGAUGCAUCAAAAGAACUGGCAUCAUUUAAACUUACAAAGCCACAACUAACACAAGCCAACAUGUUAUCAAGAGGAGUCAAUAUGCUUCUAUUUUGAUUGCUUGUAUAUCUCUUAGGUACUCCAGAGAUAGCCCAUACUCCAGAGUCCUAAGCAAAAGCAUAACUAGCCACAAUGAGUUUACAAUUGCACUUGGGAUCGGUUUUAAUAUUGUAUCUCAGUUUCUGCUUGAUGCAUCCAUUCUGAAUCGUGGGUCUGCAAAUACAUGCCUCUGUUAAUGUUUGUAAGCGAGCUACCGCUUACUCUUACAGCUCUACUCAACCAACCCACUACAGAAUCAAUUUCAUGCAAUCCAGAUAUAACACGUCCAAUUUUGACCAGAGCAAGAAGGAGAAUUGGGCCUUCUUAUUAAGUACAAUGCAUUUCUACAUGUGCAUGUUUGAAAGAUUACCUGUCGUUAGAGAAGUAGCUUCUGCUUUCCAUCAUCAUUAUCCAGCAUUAAGGUCAAUCUACCUUCAAUGUAUAUAGACAUUACGACACCACCGCUUUAGAGACAGACCAUGACUUCACUUUCAGUUGUCAACAAAGAGAACUGAAUGCCACCAAGUAGGGGUUGGUUUUCUACUUAUGCACUGAAGAUGGAACAUGUUAAGGAUACUGAGAUGCUUCAAGCACAACCACAUUUUGGUUUUGUGAUCCCCAAGACUCCAAUAUGUAAAACAUUGGCUACGUGGAUUCAAAUUUCCAGCAGAGCUCAUACUGUAGAAAAACAUCUUAUACCUUGAUUCCUGAAUUUCACAUGUCAACAAGUAUUUUCUGCGAUGUAAAAUCAGUUAGGAUCCUGCCAUUGCUUCAAACUAAGCAAGUCAUCAAUGAAAAGUAAUGCAAGAUGUCAAAUAUUGAUCACCUCUUACGAUCUUCCAUUUUUGUGUCAUUCUGGCAAUAUAUGAAAGGCUAAACUACAUGUGAGCACACAAGAAAGGCUGGUGUUCCCAUUCUAGGACCCAACUUUAGCAUAUUGUCGUAUACCACUAUGCAAAUUCUGACCGUCAAGUUUGAAAUAGGCAGAAGGGCCAAAUCUUCCCCUUCUAGGACCGAUUCCAUAAUCGUCAAGUUUGAAAUAGGCAGAAGGGCAAAAAAAAUCCCUACUAGGACCGAUUUCGUGAAGUUUGAAAUAGGCAGAAGGCAACAAUUUCCCCUUCUAGGACCCAUUUCUAUAUGAAUUUAUGCAUGAGGUGAUAAGGAACCCAGAAAUUAUUUUACUUUAGGUAUGCGGCAAACCAAGAUUGAGGAGGGUCCUUCUCGAGGAACCAUAAGUAAGACCACUACAAUUGACAAGUUUGGAAGAAGCAUUAGAGAAAAAUACCGUUUGAAAUAGGCAGAAGGGCUAAAUAGUUCCCAGCUAGGACCCAUUUCUAAGUAUUCUCUUCAAUUAUUAGGCAAUUGAUGGGAUCUUGAAAAUGAAAAUCGGCAACCAACCGUAAAUGAUAUACAACCUCGAUAACCAUUUAUGUUUUCAUAGCGCAGCAGAAGAAUCCAACAAAAUAUCGAACACAAUCAGAUCCACAACUUCAGUUGGCCACUCAUCCUUUCUUUGUACCGACACGGCCAUGUUUUAAAAUAAUUUUUUCCAAUGUGUUAAUACUGCAGCAUGAAAGGUCUGAUGUUUCUUUAUGCAAAAAGCCAAAAUUGGAGGGUGACAACAUCAAACAUUGAUAAUAGUAGAGAGUGUAUAGAUUCAUAAUUUGGAUGACACCAUUCUAUUCUUCAUAACCAUAAUCUUCUGAAGAUUUCGAAUCUGAAUAUCAAAACAGCAAUUUGCAUCAAUUUAAUAACCGCCCAUUCAUAUCUGCAGUGAAACGCCCUAUAGAUUUUUACUCAGCAAAAAAGAUUUAAAGCUUUUUACUCUAUCACCAGCAAAUUUAUCCUAAAAGUCGUGAAAGAAACCCACAACUACACAUAACAAGGCCUACCAAGAUGUUUAAGGGGCAUGAAUUACAUCCAGAAACAAAUCCACAUGAUCAAAUGUUCAUAAGAAAUCAGAAGGGCUUUUUCAACAGAAAUCUCGAACCCACAAGAUGAGGUGCCUCCAUUAUCCAACUCAAGUGCCCUUUAAUUAUAAACUUAAUCAACUACAACAAACAGAUUUCUAGAGUGGACAGAUGACAAACCAAUACUAAGACUGAUUGCCUUUCUCGAACAUAAUAUGGACCGUUCACUUAAGCCAACUGUAAUCAAAUCGAAAAUAGAAAAAAGUGUUACCUGAAUCACUCUUUUAGGUACCUUUUUAUCUGUAUACUUGUAGAAGGCAAAAAGGCAACCCUUACCAGGCAAGGUUCCAUUUUAGGACCUUUAAAUAUUGCAACAAACUAAUGUUCAUAAUGGGCAGAAGGCAAACCGAGAUGAGCAUGGAUCCUUUCUAGGACCCAAAAUGAACAACUCACAUGAACAGCUCACUUAGCUCAACAGUAAUCAAGUUCAACAUAGGCAGAAUGGUAACUUGGUUCUCUCUUCUAGAUACCUUUACAUUUGUAUAUGUUCGAAGGCAAAAAGGCAACCCAAACUGAGGUUCCAUUUUAGGACUGUCAAAUAUUGCAACAAAUAAAUGUCCUGAACAGGCAGGAGGCAAACCGAGAUGAAUAUGGUUCACUGUCUAGGACUCGAAAGAACAACUUGCAUAUAUGAAUCCAAUAAGUCUCAAUAGAUAGAAAGAUUAACUAUAAUCCCUUUUAGGACCCACAAUGAGGUGGAUUACCACUCAGGAGCUCAAAAUAUGCAGGCGAGCUACACAAAACCCUUUAAGCUACGCAGCAUCGGUAAAAAAUUCCAAAGGAUAACCAUAUAGAUCAAACCCACGAUGUAUCCUUAAACUCUCUUUAGUAACAUGGGGCAGCACAACAAUAGAUUUCUAGAAUCCAAUUUCCCAAUUCAUAAGAAAGUCAAUAAUGAUUAAUAUGUCUUAAGGCGUCAAGUUUUCAACUCCAAGAUAUCUUAUUUCUGGAAAAGAUUGGAUUUUAAAGUUGCACCGUUGAGUCAAAAGUUUAAGAAAUCCAGCAUUAAGCGCCUCGAAGCCUUUUAAAAUGAUCGCAAAUGUAUCUUAUGACCAAAUGCAACCCAUGAGAAAGGAUCUACCAACUCACCAAGCAUACAUCGAAGUGAAAGACACAGUAACAGAGAUCAUUAGAUAGCCACCAUGGCUCAGAGAUACAGAAUUCUCAAACAUUAGAAACCAGUCACUUGUAAUUGUUGUAAGAAAACCCCCUAUAUAUUUUGUUCCUCAAGCAACGGAAUCAAAGCACAACAGGAACCCACGAAACGAACCUUUUAAGGAUUCAAGGUAAUAGUCAGACUCAGAAUGCUUCGAUGCAAAAGAAUCUUUCAAGUCCACAAGAACGCUAAAUCUAGGAACGAAAGUGACGUAAAUGGAUGAAAAAUGGAGAUUUGAGAUGGAAAACGGACCUGUUAAUUGUAGACCCGCACAAAAGAAGUUUCUGACACUUGAAGAGUUCUGUGUCAGAAAUUGUAACCCACCAGAAGAGGGCAAACAGAAAUCGUAACCAGCCAGAGUCUCCGGUCAGCACGAUCUUGAACAGGUUAUCGUAUUCGUGGUCUACCCUAUGUCUCUUUCCCCCAAACACUAAAUUUAUACAAGACACUGUUCCUCUCCUGCUAUCUCUUAUUCUCCUUCUCAUCUCAGAUCUCUCAAACCUGCAUGAGAUCCAAUCGACGACCACGAACAAAUCAAUCAUGAGUUGCAGUAACUGGAACGCAAACAGAUCUGAAACAGUUUCAAAGGAAUAUGACUUACCCGAGGGACGAAUAGAUUAAGAAGGAGAAACGAACUCGUCUACGAACCAGGAACAAUGAGAUUCACAAUUUUCUAUCUUUAAAUUUUGGAUUAUGAAUUUCAUGGUAGGUUGGAUAUGACAAAGAAAUAAGAAGGUUUUCUUUCAUGGCCAUAAAAAAUGGAUACAAAUGCCUUGGAUUAAGGGAUGGGUGCUACAGAGGCUUUGAAAAUUGUCUCUGUCUUUAGAGCUUGAGAAUCCUUCUUUAGCAGGCUUUUAGUUCCUUAUUAUUAUUUAUUAAGAAGAGAAAACACAAGCCAUAUUUCUAUCUCUAUAUUACUACAGCUUAAUGUUUGCUGUAUUUUAUUGGUUACAAGUUGUC